UCGGGACGUAGCGCAGCCUGGUAGCGCAUCACACUGGGGGUGUGGGGGUCGGAGGUUCGAAUCCUCUCGUCCCGACCAA
rnacentral:tRNA from 1 species